rnacentral:rRNA from 1 species
UACAGAGGGUGCGAGCGUUGUCCGGAAUCACUGGGCGUAAAGGGCGCGUAGGCUGCGGGGCAAGUCGGGUGUGAAAUCUCAGAGCUCAACUCUGAAACUGCACUCGAUACUGCUUUGCUCGAGGACUGGGAGAGGAGAUUGGAAUUCACGGUGUAGCAGUGAAAUGCGUAGAUAUCGUGAGGAAGACCAGUGCGAAGGCGGACUCGUGGACAGUUCCGUGACGUGAGGCGCGAAGGCCCAGGGGAGCAAACGG